GGCUCUUUGUUAUUAUUAUAUAGGGAGUCGGACCUGCCCAGUGACUAAAUGUUAAACGGCCGCGGUACCCUAACCGUGCUAAGGUAGCAUAAUCAUUUGCUUUUUAAUUGACGGCUUGUAUGAAUGGUUUGACGAGAGCUAAGCUGUCUCUUUUGAAAUAUUUAGAAUUUAAUUUUUAGGUGAAGAAGCCUAAAUUUAAUUGAGGGACAAGAAGACCCUGUUGAGCUUUAGUGGAGUGGUGUAUGUAUACAAUUUAGUUAUAGAUUGGUUUGGUGUUUUUAUAGUCUAAGUAUGCUGCUAAUCUUUAGUUGGGGCGACUGAGGAACAUGAACCGCUUCCUUUAAGUAGGUUAAACUAUUAAGGUAGUCAGACUAUAGUAGAUCCAGCAAAUUUUGUUGAUCAAAGGAAAAAGUUACCACAGGGAUAACAGCGUAAUCUUUCUGGAGAGAUCUUAUCGAAAGGAGGGUUUGCGACCUCGAUGUUGGACUAAGAUAUCCCAAGGGUGUAGAAGCUCUUGACGGUUGGUCUGUUCGACCAUUAAAAUCUU
rnacentral:rRNA from 1 species